rnacentral:rRNA from 1 species
CCUACGGGGGACAGCAGUGAGGAAUAUUGGUCAAUGGACGAGAGUCUGAACCAGCCAAGUAGCGUGAAGGAUGACUGCCCUAUGGGUUGUAAACUUCUUUUAUAUGGGAAUAAAACGUUCCACGUGUGGGAUUUUGUAUGUACCAUAUGAAUAAGGAUCGGCUAACUCCGUGCCAGCAGCCGCGGUAAUACGGAGGAUCCGAGCGUUAUCCGGAUUUAUUGGGUUUAAAGGGAGCGUAGGUGGAUUGUUAAGUCAGUUGUGAAAGUUUGCGGCUCAACCGUAAAAUUGCAGUUGAAACUGGCAGUCUUGAGUAUAGUAGAGGUGGGCGGAAUUCGUGGUGUAGCGGUGAAAUGCUUAGAUAUCACGAAGAACUCCGAUUGCGAAGGCAGUUCACUGGACUGCAACUGACACUGAGGCUCGAAAGUGUGGGUAUCAAACAGGAUUAGAUACCCGAGUAGUC